AUGAGUUGUUAUUUUUUUCCUUUAUUUAUUCAUGUUGUUUUAUGACUGCUUGCAUGUUCUGUAUCUGAUUUCACCAACUCUUUUUGGCUGUAUUUUUUAACAGUAGCUGCCAUGUGUUUGUUCCUGUUACAAGUGAUUACCAUCUGUUUGAGAAAAGGAAGGUAAGAAGAGAACACCAAUGGCAGUGAUGAUGGAGAAUCUGUUCUUUGCAGUGGAAACGACUGUCCAUGGGCAGCAUUCAGCCCAAUUUAUAAGAGCAGGGGUCAAAAUGCAAAAUGAAUGACAUGGGGAUUUGUUUAAUUUUAUCAAGUUUUGUACUGAGGUAAAACUCCCUCCCCAUUUUACAUAGUUUUAAAUGCUGAGAUGGGGAUAUGUGUAAAUAGGACUGUAAGUAUGGAGAAAUUUUUUAUUGUGACGGGAAUACGGGUGAUACACCCGUGUUUUUAUGUAAGUGGUGGAAAAUUUUAUUUUUUAAGUUACUAACUUUUUAGCACAUAUAUUCCACCAUUUAUAUAGUGACACAUGGUGUACCACCUCAUAUGCCG
rnacentral:sRNA from 1 species